rnacentral:rRNA from 1 species
UACGGGGGGGGCAAGCGUUGUUCGGAAUUACUGGGCGUAAAGGGCUCGUAGGCGGCCAACUAAGUCAGACGUGAAAUCCCUCGGCUUAACCGGGGAACUGCGUCUGAUACUGGAUGGCUUGAGUUUGGGAGAGGGAUGCGGAAUUCCAGGUGUAGCGGUGAAAUGCGUAGAUAUGUGGAAGAACACCGGUGGCGAAGGCGGUUUUCUAGCUUAUUCCUGACGCUAAGGCGCGAAAGCAAGGGGAUCAAACAGG